GGUUGCUAGUGUUGUUGUAAUUAGUGAUACGACAAGUACUAUUCCACCGCCACCACCACCACCCCAACCACAACCCGGUCAAACCCAUAGUUACUGUUUUGUGGAUGGGGAUGUGAUUAGUGUUG
rnacentral:ribozyme from 1 species